rnacentral:rRNA from 1 species
CUACGGGGUGCUGCAGUGAGGAAUAUUGCACAAUGGAGGAAACUCUGAUGCAGCAACGCCGCGUGGAGGAUGACGCAUUUCGGUGUGUAAACUCCUUUUAUAUGUCAAGAAAAUGACGGUAGCAUAUGAAUAAGCACCGGCUAACUCCGUGCCAGCAGCCGCGGUAAUACGGAGGGUGCAAGCGUUACUCGGAAUCACUGGGCGUAAAGGACGCGUAGGCGGGAUAUCAAGUCAGGUGUGAAAUCCUACAGCUUAACUGUAGAACUGCACUUGAAACUGGUAACCUAGAGUAUGGGAGGGGGAGAUGGAAUUAGUGGUGUAGGGGUAAUAUCCGUAGAUAUCACUAGGAAUACCUAAAGCGAAGGCGAUCUCCUGGAACAUAACUGACGCUAAGGCGUGAAAGCGUGGGGAGCAAACAGGAUUAGAUACCCCAGUAGUC